ACUCAACCUGGGUUGACGUCUUUUUUGAAGCUCUGCUGAGGUCUGUGAUAAAGUUUUAAUGUGACAAGAAGUCUGUGACAAAGUUAUGCAGAAAAGGAACUAAAUGAAUCUCCUUUCACGACAAGCGACCAACGAGUUCUCACGGCGUAACGGAAGAGGGAAGGAUACAGGAUGAAAACUCCCAAGAAAUAAACGCCCGUUUUAAAGAACCGACCUGUGUCUGUGUCGUGAAGAGAGCUACAUAUACACUACCUACGAUUUACGAAGACAACCAGGGCACAAUAGCGUUGGCAAAUAAUCCUGUUAACAGACAGAGAUGCGAGCAUAUUGACAUUAAGUAUCAUUUUCUGAGGUCAACUGUGGAAGGGGGAAAAACAAAUCUGAUUUAUUGUCCAACAGACCAGAUGGUGACAGAUGUUAUGACAAAACCUGCACCAAAGUUUAAGUUGAUUAAGUUUGCAAAGUUUAUGUUUGGAGAGUAACAAUUUCUGUAAGGUAGAGAACCUUAUAAUGUUUUUAUUUGUUAAAAAAAAUAAAACACAAAUGUGAUAUCAAGUGGGGGUGUUAACAUUCAGGUAAAUGUGUUACCAAUUUGUGUUAUUUGUUGUGCAUGACCGGAAGCCAAUAGCGUAACAGGUUAAAGGUCAUGAUGGGUAUAAAUAAAGCCACGCCUCCAAUGGGAGAGUCCGAUGAAUGAAAUGC